rnacentral:rRNA from 1 species
GACGAACGCUGGCGGCGUGCUUAACACAUGCAAGUCGAACGAUGAGACGGGGGCUUUCUUCUCUGGAUGAGUGGCGAGCGCGUGAGUGACACGUGAGCAUUCUCCCCCUGACUCCGGGAUAACUCCGGGAAACUGCAGCUAAUACCGGAGAUGAGCUGUUCAAGCACCUGGAUCAGUGGGGAAGGACUUCUGUCCGGUAUCGGUUCGCGGGCUAUCAGCUUCUUGGUCAGGUAGCUGAUCACCAAGGGUACGACGGGUAGCCGGCCUGAGAGGGUGGACGGCGACAUGAGGCCUGAGACACGGAGCAGACGCGUACGUGACGCAGCAGUGGGGAAUAUUGCGCAGUGGGGGCGAGCCUGAUGCAGCAACGUUGCGAGAGGGAUGACGGCCUUCGGGGUGUAAACAACUGUUAGCAGGGAAGAAGCGAACGUGACGGUACCUGCAGAAAAAGCGACGGCUAACUACGUG